rnacentral:rRNA from 1 species
GAUGAACGCUGGCGGCGUGCCUAAUACAUGCAAGUCGAGCGAACAGAUGAGGAGCUUGCUCCUCUGACGUUAGCGGCGGACGGGUGAGUAACACGUGGAUAACCUACCGAUAAGACUGGGAUAACUUCGGGAAACCGGAUCUAAUACCGGAUAAUAUAUUGAACCGCAUGGUUCAAUAGUGAAAGACGGUUUUGCUGUCACUUAUAGAUGGAUCCUCGCCGCAUUAGCUAGUUGGUAAGGUAACGGCCUACCAAGGCAACGAUGCGUAGCCGACCUGAGAGGGUGAUCGGUCACACUGGAACUGAGACACGGUCCAGACUCCUACGGGAGGCAGCAGUAGGGAAUCUUCCGCAAUGGGCGAAAGCCUGACGGAGCAACGCCGCGUGAGUGAUGAAGGUCUUCGGAUCGUAAAACUCUGUUAUUAGGGAAGAACAAAUGUGUAAGUAACUAUGCACGUCUUGACGGUACCUAAUCAGAAAGCCACGGCUAACUACGUG